UCCGGUUAUUGCCCCAUUUGCUAUAGAUAUAACAAAAGUCUUAUUAGACCAAAAACCAAAGUACAACAACAUUACCUUGGUGUUGUUCUACUGCCAGAACUCAAUAUCACUCUAUUUCACGUUUGUUCACUUUUAAGGAGAGGAUUCUCCUAUUGUUUUACAUAUAUGCUUCAACAAUUUCGCACCUUGGGUAGCUACUAGCACACUCAAACGUAGAAGAGGCAACAUCAGUAAGUCACGAUUGUUAGAUAGUAAUUUAUUUCUCAAAGGAAAAUUUAUGCAUCAACAAAUUUGUUCACACCAACAGAAUUAUAUUUCUGGCAACGUUGUUAUGCUUGAAGAAGAAAUUGUGAAAUUAGAGCAAUUAAGAGUAGAAAUUCCUUCGAGAAAAUUAAGAUUUUGGACGAAACGGGAUUUGAAUUUGGAGAGGCGUAAGGAGCGAAUAAGGUACAGACGCACAGUUUGGUGAUCCACCAGUUUAGGACACCCUCUUCUGCUGUUUGGAGUGCUCCUCUUAUUCCGGAGCCUACAUUUUGGUAUAUAUACUUGUUUGAUGCAUAUGUAUAUAUUUGUUCAGGGGUACGGCGGGGCCCUGUUUCGCCAUAUGAUCCGUUUGGUCUAUUUAGAGGUCUGUAGACGUAUUUGUGGGUGUGUGUGCCUACUUCUGUACAGAUGUGUUUGUAUGACCCUGUUCGUUAUGGCAGCCUUGUCGGCGUGCACUUUGUAUAUGUUUUGGGUCGUUGCGCCAUCUGUUAGCCUUGUCGGCUUUUGAUACAUUUAAUAGCCUUGCCGGCUUUUCGAUAUAAGUAUAUGUAUAUGUUUGCGCUGAAAUGUGUCCGAUACAGUUUGACAUAGUUUGAGACGACAUAUAGUGUUUAUGGCCGUAUAUGCUAUUUGGAUGUGAUCAGAUAUGGAUAGGUAUGUCAGG